AAAAGUUGGUCUUAGAAGUUUAAACUUUGAAUGGAUAACCAGUUAUGCUUAUUAAUAUUCGAUCAAGUCUACUCCAGUCUACUCCUAAUCUGCCAUAUGACCACACAAUGGACAAACAGUCUACAGUAAACCUAGCUAAAGUAGUCCAUAUAGGGUCCAUAGACUAUUUUAGCAGUAUGCUCGUUAGCCUAUCACCAAACCUGCCAAUUUUCCUUACUCUAUCAGUUUUGAGUACAGUUUUAACCGUGCGUGAUUAAUUGUUGAUAUACAUAUUGAAUUUUCCACUUCUUGAUUCCCACUCCAUUUUUAAGGAACGGAUUUUACUCGUACGCAUCUUUUGUCAAAAUUUACAGUUU
rnacentral:lncRNA from 1 species